rnacentral:misc_RNA from 1 species
GAACUGCGAUAAGUAAUGUGAAUUGCAGAAUUCAGUGAAUCAUCGAGUCUUUGAACGCACAUUGCGCCCCCUGGUAUUCCGGGGGGCAUGCCUGUCCGAGCGUCAUUGCUGCCCCUCAAGCACGGCUUGUGUGAUGGGCCCUCCCGCGUCUUGGUCGUCAAGACGGGCCCGAAAUGCAGUGGCGGCUUCGCGGUUAUCCGAUCAGCCAGAGCGUAUGGGGACUCUCUCUCUUGUCACACGCCCGCGGCGCGGACCGACGCCUGUCGACCUUUAUUCAUCUUCUCUCGGUUGACCUCGGAUCAGGUAGGGAUACCCGCUGAACUUAAGC